rnacentral:rRNA from 1 species
UUUUACGGAGAGUUUGAUCCUGGCUCAGGACGAACGCUGGCGGCGUGCUUAACACAUGCAAGUCGAGCGGUAAGGCCUUUCGGGGUACACGAGCGGCGAACGGGUGAGUA